GAGCUCCCUAGAACAUUCUGUGCCCGGGGAAGGAGUGUGACCCCCACUUCCCAGAGACAGAUGCAGGAGGAGCCUGACAAAGCCUGACCCACCCCUCAAAGGAAAGCAAAUAGGGCUCUGGUCCCCUUGUUUGGGGGAAACCCACAGGAGAGGUGUGGCGGUUCUCAAGAAGCAUAAGUCAGUUACACAUAAGGCAACUUGGUGGCCUUCCAACGGUGAUGGCCCUUGGAUAACCAAGGGCCAGGGGUUUCACAAGGCCACUCUGCAAUGACCAUGGACUGCAAGGCUUCAACUGCUCCUCUAUUCUCCAAGAGUGUAGGCCACCAUCCCCUAGGCCAGAGUUGGUGCCCACUGCCUGCUAGGGCACGCAGACUCCGGACAGCAAGAGGAGAGGACAAGAAACUAGCAUUCAUGCUUGCAACUACCUUAUGAAGAAAGUACGAAGGCAUUCAUCUCCAAACCGGCUUUUCUCCACUGUAAAAUAGAGAGAUUAGAUGACCAUGACCAAGGCAUGCAACUAAUCAACAGUGAAUAUGAGAUUGUUUCCUGAACUCCUUGGCUAGUUUUGUUUAGUGAGCCAUUCAAGCAUAUAAUUGUAAGAACAAGUAAAUUAGGUAAAUGUAAAAUGGGAUAAAAAUUUAUAGGUGAACUUGUUAUAGUUUCAAAACUCUUUUUCAGUAACUUAUAAUCUUAAAGUUAUUUUAUGUUAAAUUAAGUAAUAGAU